rnacentral:rRNA from 1 species
GACGAACGCUGGCGGCGUGCUUAACACAUGCAAGUCGAACGCUGAAGCUCAGCUUGCUGGGUGGAUGAGUGGCGAACGGGUGAGUAACACGUGAGUAACCUGCCCUCUUCUUUGGGAUAACGCCCGGAAACGGGUGCUAAUACUGGAUAUUCACUGAUUCUCGCAUGGGGGUUGGUGGAAAGGUUUUUUCUGGUGGGGGAUGGGCUCGCGGCCUAUCAGCUUGUUGGUGGGGUGAUGGCCUACCAAGGCUUUGACGGGUAGCCGGCCUGAGAGGGUGACCGGUCACAUUGGGACUGAGGUACGGCCCAGACUCCUACGGGAGGCAGCAGUGGGGAAUAUAGCACAAUGGGCGAAAGCCUGAUGCAGCGACGCCGCGUGAGGGAUGGAGGCCUUCGGGUUGUAAACCUCUUUCGCUCAUGGUCAAGCCGCAGCUUUGGGUUGUGGUGAGGGUAGUGGGUAAAGAAGCGCCGGCUAACUACGUG